UUAGGGGCGCGUUUAGGCUACAGCUGUUUUCGUUCCUUUGACUCACUCUGCAGGGUAACAUGAAGACAGACAGACAAGCAACCAACUGGAACAGCUCUUGAUAUCAGCCUCCCCUGUCUGGAGCAGAGCCUCCAACGCAGUUGAUUUGACCAAUUGAAUGCCAGAAGAGUGUUUCAACGGGAGUGAACUUCGAUACUCUUUUAUUUGCUAAACCCUUUAUUACACUUGGCAGAUAGACAACAAAAAACAACUGCUACCUCUGAAGGACAUUGUUGACUUUCUCCUGGGCACACUAGAGUUAAAGUCUCACCACGAUUAGACUGAUUGGAUUGAAAUCAGCCACUAAAGAGGCAACAUGUCUGGGAUCAAAAGUUCAGUGAAUUUGCUGAGGGUCGCAGUCAGGUCGCAGAUCGUCUCCAAAGCCGCCCUGUCACACAAGCCUGCGAAGCACCACAUAUCCGCGGGCGAGCAAGCCAUGGCAUUGACAGUCUUUUUCAUCACCAUCCUGGGGCCGUCUGGUUAUGUCCUGGCCCAUCUGGAGGACUACAAGCACCACUCCUAAGUGGACCUGUCCGGACUGACCCCGAUCCACUUCACCGGUGGAUUACUCCAGAUGGCUUCUCCUGAAGUCUCCUAAACCCUUUAUAUGAGGGAUGAUUAUAUUAAUGAAUGUACCAAUAAAUUAAUGUCCCAAUAGUA